rnacentral:rRNA from 1 species
GACGAACGCUGGCGGCGUGCUUAACACAUGCAAGUCGAACGAAGUGGCGAACGGGUGAGUAACGCGUAAUCAACCUGCCCUUCAGAGGGGGACAACAGUUGGAAACGACUGCUAAUACCGCAUACUGAAGGAGGGGUUUUCGUCUGAUUAGCUAGUUGGCGGGGUAACGGCGCACCAAGGCGAUGAUCAGUAGCCGUUCGGAGAGGAUGAACGGCCACACUGGAACUGGGACACGGUCCAGACUCCUACGGGAGGCAGCAGUGGGGAAUAUUGCACAAUGGGCGAAAGCCUGAUCCAGCCAUGCCGCGUGUGUGAAGAAGGUCUUCGGAUUGUAAAGCACUUUAAGUGGGGAGGCGUUACCAACAGAAGAAGCACCGGCUAACUUCGUGCCAGCAGCCGCGGUAAUUC